UUCACAUGCCCACAUGGAGAGCAGAUAGAAGAACAUUGUGUUCUGUUCUGAAUCAUUUGGUGCAUGGCUCCAGAGCCAGUGUCUUCAGGAGCAAGCCCUGUACACCCACAGCCCUGUUUCUGAAGCCAAGAAUGAAAAAUGGGAAAGAAAGGAUGCCUUCUAUAAAACCUAAGGAUGCUGCACCUCCCUGUUUGUGGACCAAGACAUUCAAGAGCAAAAAUAUUGCAUAGAAGAUGUGGGCACCUAUAGCUCAGGAAGGAAUGAGUUUGCAUUCUACAGUGUAUUUAAAUGAAAAUAUGAUUAAAAAAAAUGUAUUUGUCCGUAAGUGAACUGCCACACUAGGAAAUGUUAUAUCUGAGUAUUGGUCAUUGCCAUGCUAGCAGAGGUAUCUUGCCAUGUACAUGCACAAACCAGGUUUUAAAAGUAGCUACCUCAAAUUAGUGUGACUCUAUUUUAUUCUCAACAAUGGAUAAAAAUCUCUCAUAAUAGAGAACCACAGACAAGUUCUAAUGCAGUUCCUUUAGUGCAACAGAACAGUGUGAAUGACUGCUCAGCAACUUGGGACCUUCAGUUAAUACCUUAGAUUAAAUAUUCAAACACUACAGAAUUAUUUUGAAAGCUUUGCAAUGCUGAGUUUAAUUAUACUUAAAAUUCCACAGAUAUAAAAGAGAAAACUUUGAUACAAAAUAAGAAUAAGAAUAAGAAUAAUAUAAUGAAAUAUCUAAGGAUAAUAAAAAUGCAAUGAGACACAGAAAACUGCAGCUCUUUUGUAUUCUGAAAAAUAGUUUUAGCAUUGAAAAAUAAAAUUGUGCUGGUAUAUUAGAACAUUUGAGAGGUGAAACCCCAUUAAAAAAAAAAUUCAUUCACUGGCUUUAGAUGCUGCAUUUGUCUUAAACAUUUAUAUUUUUUCUGCAAGAGUUAUUUUCAUAAACUAUAUUUUU